GUGGACGCCAGUCUGCAUGGAGCCGACCUUGAAAUACCACCCUUUAAUGUUUGAUGUUCUAACGUGGACCCGUGAUCCGGGUUGCGGACAGUGUCUGGUGGGUAGUUUGACUGGGGCGGUCUCCUCCUAAAGAGUAACGGAGGAGCACGAAGGUUGGCUAAUCCUGGUCGGACAUCAGGAGGUUAGUGCAAUGGCAUAAGCCAGCUUGACUGCGAGCGUGACGGCGCGAGCAGGUGCGAAAGCAGGUCAUAGUGAUCCGGUGGUUCUGAAUGGAAGGGCCAUCGCUCAACGGAUAAAAGGUACUCCGGGGAUAACAGGCUGAUACCGCCCAAGAGUUCAUAUCGACGGCGGUGUUUGGCACCUCGAUGUCGGCUCAUCACAUCCUGGGGCUGAAGUAGGUCCCAAGGGUAUGGCUGUUCGCCAUUUAAAGUGGUACGCGAGCUGGGUUUAGAACGUCGUGAGACAGUUCGGUCCCUAUCUGCCGUGGGCGCUGGAGAACUGAGGGGGGCUGCUCCUAGUACGAGAGGACCGGAGUGGACGCAUCACUGGUGUUCGGGUUGUCAUGCCAAUGGCACUGCCCGGUAGCUAAAUGCGGAAGAGAUAAGUGCUGAAAGCAUCUAAGCACGAAACUUGCCCCGAGAUGAGUUCUCCCUGAGACUUAAAGUCUCCUGAAGGAACGUUGAAGACGACGACGUUGAUAGGCCGGGUGUGUAAGCGCAGCGAUGCGUUGAGCUAACCGGUACUAAUGAACCGUGAGGCUUAACCUUACA
rnacentral:rRNA from 1 species